UACGUAGGGUCCGAGCGUUGUCCGGAGUUACUGGGCGUAAAGCGCGCGCAGGCGGCGGUGCUGGCCCGGCGUGAAAGCCCCCGGCUCAACCGGGGAGGGUCGUCGGGGACCGCACCGCUUGAGGGCGGUAGGGGCUGGUGGAAUGCCUGGUGUAGUGGUGAAAUGCGUAGAGAUCCGGAGGAACACCGAAGGCGAAGGCAGUGUCCUGGCCGGUGACUGACGCUGAGGUGCGAAAGCUAGGGGAGCGAACGGG
rnacentral:rRNA from 1 species